rnacentral:rRNA from 1 species
UACAGAGGGUGCAAGCGUUGCUCGGAUUUACUGGGCGUAAAGCGUACGCAGACGGUGAGAAAGGUCGGAUGUGAAAGCCCCGGGCUCAACCCGGGAACUGCAUCCGAAACCAUCUCGCUAGAGUAUGGGAGAGGGAAGUGGAAUUCCUGGUGUAGAGGUGAAAUUCGUAGAUAUCAGGAGGAACACCGGCGGCGAAGGCGGCUUCCUGGCCCAUUACUGACGUUCAGGUACGAAAGCGUGGGUAGCAAACAGG